rnacentral:rRNA from 1 species
AUCGAACGCUGGCGGCAUGCCUAACACAUGCAAGUCGAACGAGUGGCGGACGGGUGAGUAAUAUCUGGGAAACUUCCCGAUGGAGGGGGAUAACUACUGGAAACAGUACCUAAUACCGCCUACCAUCGGAUGUGCCCAGAUGGGCUUAGCUAGUGGGUGGGGUAAGGGCUCACCUAGGCGCCGAUCCCUAGCUGGUCUGAUAGGAUGACCAGCCACACUGGAACUGAGACACGGUCCAGACUCCUACGGGAGGCAGCAGUGGGGAAUAUUGCACAAUGGGCGCAAGCCGGAUGCAGCAAUGCCGGGUGGAUGAAGAAGGCCUUCGGGUUGUAAAGUACUUUCAGCGAGGAGGCGUUACUCGCAGAAGAAGCACCGGCUAACUCCGUGCCAGCAGCCGCGGUAAUAC